AAGUACGACAAGAUUGUGUACGAGAUUAUUGAUGGUCAAGUCUCUGUGGAAGAACAGGAUCAACAGUACAAGAACAGAGUUGAAAGCUUCCCCGAGGAGUAUCUGAGAGGAAACUUCUCCAUCAAACUCAACAAUCUUCAACACACUGAUGCAGGAGUAUACUGCUGCUACAUCAACAUGAAGGAAUCAGUACUCAGGAGUGUUAAGCUUUUGAUUAAAAGUGAGUAAAAGUGCAUGGUUGACAAAACAUUUAUAUUUCAGUCUUUAUUCUUUUGUAUAUCACAUUCUCUUGUUUUUCUUCCAACUUUUGUAAAUCUUUUGUCUUCCAGAGAGACCAGAAAGACAAAUCAACAGCAAAGGAACAAACCCAAAACCAGAGAUGAUUGUAAUGUUCGUUUCCAUUCUUUGCACUGGCAUUAUAUUUUCAUUGUCUAACUCUGCCACAGUGUGUUUUUAAGGAGUUUUAGUCAUUGCUCACUAUGACUCGACGUCAUCUGCACAGGCUCCUAGAAAUGUCUGUAUAUCAUCUGUAGAUAUUAAUUAGUUGUUGUUCACAUCUUCAUUAAUCUGUGAAGCCCAUCUUAACCUUCUGCACACUGGUGCAAAUACCAGCAUGCACUGAAAAUGUUAUUAUAGAUGAGCUGCUGUGAUGGAGGUAGACAUCAAUGAGUUCUGGUGCUCGUGUUACAGUAAUGAGAGAACUAUUUUACCAUUUUACAACCACUAAAUUAUAAUUGAAGUAUACAAAAGGUUGUGAAAAUGUUUUAUUGUGAACCAAUCCCAGGCCUCAUGUGAUGUGUUGUAAAAA